rnacentral:rRNA from 1 species
GACGAACGCUGGCGGCGUGCCUAACACAUGCAAGUCGAACGGAACUGUUUUGAAAGAUUUCUUCGGAAUGAAUUUGAUUUAGUUUAGUGGCGGACGGGUGAGUAACGCGUGAGUAACCUGCCUUCAAGAGGGGAAUAACAUUCUGAAAAGAAUGCUAAUACCGCAUGACAUAUCGGAACCACAUGGUUUUGCUUUCAAAGAUUUUAUCGCUUGAAGAUGGACUCGCGUCCGAUUAGUUAGUUGGUGAGGUAACGGCUCACCAAGACCGCGAUCGGUAGCCGGACUGAGAAGUUGAACGGCCACAUUGGGACUGAGACACGGCCCAGACUCCUACGGGAGGCAGCAGUGGGGGAUAUUGCGCAAUGGGGGCAACCCUGACGCAGCAACGCCGCGUGAAGGAUGAAGGUUUUCGGAUUGUAAACUUCUUUUAUUAAGGACGAAAAAUGACGGUACUUAAUGAAUAAGCUCCGGCUAACUACGUG